rnacentral:rRNA from 1 species
GAUGAACGCUGGCGGCGUGCCUAAUACAUGCAAGUCGAGCGAACAGACGAGGAGCUUGCUCCUCUGACGUUAGCGGCGGACGGGUGAGUAACACGUGGAUAACCUACCUAUAAGACUGGGAUAACUUCGGGAAACCGGAGCUAAUACCGGAUAAUAUAUUGAACCGCAUGGUUCAAUAGUGAAAGACGGUUUUGCUGUCACUUAUAGAUGGAUCUGCGCCGCAUUAGCUAGUUGGUAAGGUAACGGCUUACCAAGGCAACGAUGCGUAGACGACCUGAGAGGGUGAUCGGCCACACUGGAACUGAGACACGGUCCAGACUCCUACGGGAGGCAGCAGUAGGGAAUCUUCCGCAAUGGGCGAAAGCUUGACGGAGCAACGCCGCGUGAGUGAUGAAGGUCUUCGGAUCGUAAAACUCUGUUAUUAGGGAAGAACAAAUGUGUAAGUAACUAUGCACGUCUUGACGGUAACUAAUCAGAAAGCCACGGCUAACUACGUG